rnacentral:rRNA from 1 species
UGCAGUCGAACGAAGUAGCAAUACUUAGUGGCAGACGGGUGAGUAACAUGUAGGUAUCUGCCCUUUGGCCUGGAAUAACACGAGGAAACUUGUGCUAAUACCGGAUAAGUCUUUACGGAGAAAGCUUUAUGCACCAUUGGAUGAGCCUGCACUUGAUUAGUUUGUUGGUGGGGUAAUGGCCUACCAAGACUGUGAUCAAUAGCUGAUUUGAGAGGAUGAUCAGCCACAUUGGGACUGAGACACGGCCCAAACUCCUACGGGAGGCAGCAGUGGGGAAUCUUGCACAAUGGAGGAAACUCUGAUGCAGCGAUGCCGCGUGAGUGAAGAAGGCCCUUGGGUUGUAAAGCUCUUUCGUCGGGGAAGAAAAUGACUGUACCCGAAUAAGAAGGUCCGGCUAACUUCGUGCCAGCAGCCGCGGUAAUACGAAGGGACCUAGCGUAGUUCGGAAUUACUGGGCUUAAAGAGUUCGUAGGUGGUUGAAAAAGUUAGUGGUGAAAUCCCAGAGCUUAACUCUGGAACUGCCAUUAAAACUUUUCAGCUAGAGUAUGAUAGAGGAAAGCAGAAUUUCUAGUGUAGAGGUGAAAUUCGUAGAUAUUAGAAAGAAUACCAAUUGCGAAGGCAGCUUGCUGGAUCAUUACUGACACUGAGGAACGAAAGCAUGGGUAGCGAAGAGGAUUAGAUACCCUCGUAGUCCAUGCCGUAAACGAUGUGUGUUAGACGUUGGAAAUUUAUUUUCAGUGUCGCAGGGAAACCGAUAAACACACCGCCUGGGGAGUACGACCGCAAGGUUAAAACUCAAAUGAAUUGACGGGGACCCGCACAAGUAGUGGAGCAUGUGGUUUAAUUCGAAGAUACGCGCAGAACCUUACCAACACUUGACAUGUUCGUCGCGACUCUA